rnacentral:lncRNA from 1 species
GGAAGAUUCUAGGAGAUUGUCUCCAGAUUCAGCUCCUGGUUAUCAAUGCACAUUUAACUUGUGCAUUUAACUACAAUGGAAAUACUGUUAUGCAGAGCAUCUUGGAAGCUUAUGUAAAAAAGAUCGAGAAGAAAAAAGACUAUAUUCCUUUUGUACAUGUAUGCAACAAUUAAGUAAUGGAUUUUCGCUCAACAAACUUGCAAAGCACAUGUUUGGCUGCUAUGACAUUUCUACUGCAUGAAG